ACUCUCGGCAACGGAUAUCUCGGCUCACGCAUCGAUGAAGAACGUAGCAAAAUGCGAUACUUGGUGUGAAUUGCAGAAUCCCGUGAACCAUCGAGUUUUUGAACGCAAGUUGCGCCCAAAGCCUUUUGGUUGAGGGCACGUCUGCCUGGGCGUCACACAUCACGUCGC
rnacentral:rRNA from 1 species